rnacentral:rRNA from 1 species
UUCGGAGGUGGCAAGCGUUGUUCGGAUCCAUUGGGCGUAAAGGGCGCGUAGGCGGUGAUGUAAGUCCAUGGUGAAACCCCCCGGCUCAACCGGGGAACUGCUGCGGAUACUGCAUUGCUUGAGGGUGAGAGAGGAGAGCGGAACUCCUGGUGGAGCGGUGAAAUGCGUAGAUAUCAGGAGGAACGCCGGAGGCGAAAGCGACUCUCUGGCUCACAUCUGACGCUGAGGCGCGAAAGCUAGGGGAG